CUUUUCUUAUUCCUUUCUGAAAUCCCUUUAUUUCCUGCUUGCCUUUGAUUAUUAUUAAGACUGUCAUCAAUAAUAACAGCAACUGACAUUAACCGAGCACCUACUGUGUCAGGCACUAAGUACUCCAUCGGAGAUCUCAUUUGAUCUUGACAAUAACCCUACGAGGCUCAUCAGGCAAGGUAGGCGAAUAAUGCCAAGCUGAUGGCAGUGGAGACGGGGAAGAGGAUUGCAAUGUAGGCUACAGAAGCACUUCAAGGACACAGUGGUGCACAAUUUCCAGUAGAAAAGCCAUCAAUAAUCAACUUCAGCAAACCAAUCUGGAUGGCAUAUAAAUCAGCAGAGAUGAAACAACUUAACGAACAUCAGAUCCUCAAAAGUAACGCCAAACUCCUCACCGUGGCCCACAUGAUCUAACCCCACCUCUCCAAACUCCAUAUCGUUCCAUUCUGCCCUCACUCACAGCUCCAACUACCCUGGUCUUCUGCACAUUCCUAAACAUACCACAUCUGCUCAUGCCCAACUCUGACUGAACACCUACAAGAUGCCCAUGCCCCCUUCUAGGCACUGGGAUGCAGCUGUGAACCAGAGAGACAAGAUCCCUGCUUGGGAUAUGCUGGCAUUAUAUUCCAAUUGGGCAGAGAGAUAAUACACAAAUACAUCAGUAGAAAGUCAGACUGUGAAAGCAGCAAGAAAAAAUUAAACAGAAGCAUGUGAUAAAAACUGGUGAGGAGCACCAAAGCCUCUCCAAGGGGAAGACGUUGAGCUGAGCCUACGCAUCAAAGAGUACAGACGAAGUCUGCAGAUGGGGAGAAGAUUACAAAUCACACACGCAAACACAGACGCAAUAAGAAGUCAUAUCUUCAACCACAAACAUCAGUGAUGCCUGCCUGAGACCUCUUUAAAAGUUAUAUUCCAGAGGGGUUCACUUCCUUUUCCACAGGAAUUCUGAAGUCUGUAUCAACAGCUGUUUAGUACAAUUGGAAGCACUGGAUUCCCUGCCACCCCUAUGGUUUCCCACACAGCGAUGAGAACACCCUGUGACUCCUGGCUGCUCCCCCCAUCUCGUCCAUCUCUGUGGCCUCCACCCAGUUAGGAAUCGGCUCCUCCUGAAAACGUGUCACUAAUGGAUCUACUGCUCAGUCUUGCUAACAGAAGGCCACCUUCUAGAAAUUUACAUAGGAGAUAACCACAACACAAUCCUGUUGACAUGUGCUAGCAUUUGGCUGGGUUAUUAAAGAGCGAGGUAAUCUUUAAACAAGGGCAGGAAACUAACAAGAGUAACACUUUAAAAAGAUUGCUUGUGUUUGGAAAACUUGAAGAGAGAGAAGGAGCAAGGUUUAGAGAGUCCUACUACUCUAUGAAAGGUCAGCAUUCAGAAUUCACUAUAAAAAUGUCAGAAAAUCACUUAUACUUGCACUCACCAAAAAGAACCUUCUCCAUAAAUUGGUAUUGAAAGAUGAAAAUUGGUGCUUAAA